rnacentral:rRNA from 1 species
AGAGUUGAUCCUGGCUAGGACGAACGCUGGCGGCGUGCUUAACACAUGCAAGUCGAGCGAUGAAGCUUCUUCGGGAGUGGAUUAGCGGCGGACGGGUGAGUAACACGUGGGUAACCUGCCUCAUAGAGGGGAAUAGCCUUCCGAAAGGAAGAUUAAUACCGCAUAAGAUUGUAAUAUCACAUGAUAUAGCAAAUUAAAGGAGCAAUCCGCUAUGAGAUGGACCCGCGUCGCAUUAGCUAGUUGGUGAGGUAACGGCUCACCAAGGCGACGAUGCGUAGCCGACCUGAGAGGGUGAUCGGCCACAUUGGGACUGAGACACGGCCCAGACUCCUACGGGAGGCAGCAGUGGGGAAUAUUGCACAAUGGGGGAAACCCUGAUGCAAGCAACGCCGCGUGAGUGAUGACGGUCUUCGGAUUGUAAAGCUCUGUCUUCAGGGACGAUAAUGACGGUACCUGAGGAGGAAGCCACGGCUAACUACGUGCCAGCCGCGGC